GUCAAAACCAUCCUUACGCCUCAGAAAGAAAAGGUAAAGAGGUAGCAUCAGGAAAAAGUAAAAGUAGUUUUUCAAAUUGUGUACUUGAAUGAGCUGAGAAGUAUGAAAUAGCAUGAAGGAACUUGGAGCAAAGUGAGCAGACUGAAGAGAGACAAGUGUGAAGGAGAUACCAGCAUAAGGUAUAUGAAAUAUGGUGGCAGCAGCAAGUCUAACAAGACCUACAGAAAGUAAAAAGUGUGAACAAGUAAAGCAGCACUGAGAAGCCAAGCAAACAGAUGGAAGCAUGGAGGAACUUAGACCACUGGGAACGCUGGAUUUCCAGAUGGAGUAUUGCCCAAACAUGGAACAAGAAAGAAGUGCAUUUUAUAUACAGGUGACCUGACUGUAAGGGGAUAAAGGUGAUAAUGCAAAGGAGCUGCCAUUAAGGAUCUGUGACAGUACCAGUGAGAAAAUAAUCUCCUUACCAUGUUCUAUUUAAAAUUAAAUCCUACUGUGCUAAAUAGCCACAUGAGUUUUAGCAGCAGAGGAUCAGAAGCCUUAUUUUGCAAGACAUUCUGUCAUUCUUUACUGCAUGAAAACGUGAAUCAGGGCUUUGCUGUGUGAUUGCUCCCUGAAACAAUAAAACAUUGUCUAUAAAGUUGGAAAACCUGAAUCAAAUUUCAAAGGAUGUAAAUGCAUUCUAUUUAGGUUUGUCAUUAAUAUUUUACUUUUUAAAGAAACCUUUAAAUACCUAAUGUCAUCAUUAAUAUUAACUUUAAUGACAUAUAAGGCCUGUCUUCCACUU